GACGAACGCUGGCGGCGUGCCUAAUACAUGCAAGUAGAACGUUGAAGAGUGGAGCUUACUCUUCUUGGAUGAGUUGCGAACGGGUGAGUAACGCGUAGGUAACCUGCCUUGUAGCGGGGGAUAACUAUUGGAAACGAUAGUUAAUACCGCAUAACAAUGGAUGACACAUGUCAUUUAUUUGAAAGGGGCAUUUGCUCCACUACAAGAUGGACCUGCGUUGUAUUAGCUAGUAGGUUAGGUAAUGGCUCACCUAGGCGACGAUACAUAGCCGACCUGAGAGGGAGAUAGGCCACACUGGGACUGAGAAAGGGCCCAGAAUCCUACAGGAAGCAGCAGGAGGGAAUUUUCGGCAAUGGGGGCAACGCUGGCUGAGCAAAGCCCGGUGGGUGAAGGAGGUUUUCGGAUCGUAAAGGUAUGUUGUAAGAAAAGAACGGGUGGGAGAGUGGAAAGUUCACACUGUGACGGUAGCAAAACAAAAAGAGACGGCUAACUACGUG
rnacentral:rRNA from 1 species